UCUCUCUCCGGUCUUCUUCUUCAUCGCCUUCAAACCCUCGAUGUCCUUUUAUAUUAUUUCUUUCACAGAAUCCGCGUCUUCCAUGAACUUUCCCGUGAUCUCAUCUCAUCUCUCUUCAAUUCAUCAACCACAAAAACCCAUCUCAAUCUUCCAAUUUCAUUCAUCACUCAGAAACCCUACUACAUUUUGAUUCAAUCAUGGCUGAAAAUGGCGAAGAAAAGCUCAUUGCUGUCGCCCGUCACAUAGCUAAAACCCUCGGCCACACCGACAAUGCAAUGGCCGAUGAUAUACUUCAAAUCUUCUCUAACUUUGAUGGCAGGUUACGUGAGAAGCUCACUGAAAACUUAAGUGAUGGUGAUGAUUCACGAAACGGUGUAGCUGUGCUUGAUCAAACCCUAAGAUCUCUUGAUCGUCAGAUCUCUAGGUACGUCACUGUUAAUCACCCAAUCUGGUCUGAUUCCGCCGAUGCUUCCACUUUCCUUGAUGCUGUUGAUGAACUUGUUGCCGCGAUCCGCGAGUGGACUCCCAUGGCUGCUGAUAAAUCCGUCACGGCUUGUCUCGAUCGAGCCGAGGAUUUGCUCCAGCAGUGUAUGUUUCGGCUUGAGGAGGAGUUUAAGCUGCUAAUGGAACGCGGCGGCGCUGAGCCUUUCGAUAACGCUGUGAGAGAUGGAGGAGCUUACUUAGAUUCCGAUGAUGAAGAAGACAAUGAUGGAUAUGAUGAUGUAGAGAUUCCGAUGGCGCAUCCGGUGUCGGAUUACAACAUCAUAAUUGACGCGCUUCCGUCCGGAACCAUCAACGAUCUACACGAGAUCUCCAAGAGAAUGGUAAGUGCGGGAUAUGGAAAGGAGUGUUCGCUCGCGUACAGCUCUUGCCGCAGGGAUUUCUUAGAAGAAAGCCUCUCGAGAUUAGGUUUUUCAGGGUUACAGAAAUCAAAUGCGGCUCUGGAAGAUGAUGAUAACGAAGUCGAAAUCGACAAGUGGAUCAAAGCAGUCAACAUGGCUGUUCGAGUCUUUUACCCCAGUGAACGCCGCCUCUGCGACCGUGUUUUUGGGUACUCCUCCGCCACCGCUGCUGUGGCAGAUCUUUCAUUCAUGGAGGCCUGUAGAGUGUCCUCCAAGGAGCUGCUCAAUUUUGCUAAUGGAAUCGCAAUGGGUAGCAGAGCACCAGAUAGAUUGUUCAAGAUUCUUGACGUUUUUGAAGCCGUGAAGGAUUUGUUGCCCGAAAUCGAGGUACUGUUUGCUGAUCAAUAUUGUCUGUUCCUUAGAAAUGAAGCCAUGGGAGUUUGGAAGAGAUUAGGGGAAUCAAUUAGAGGAAUAUUUAUGGAAUUAGAGAAUUUAAUCCGCCGUGAUCCAGCAAAAGCUGCUGUUCCUGGUGGCGGUCUUCAUCCCAUAACCCGUUACGUGAUGAAUUACCUCCGAGCUGCAUGUUCUAGACCAACCCUAGAACAAGUUUUUGAUGAAAAUGUGGUACCUCCUGUGGGUAUCGAUAGAUCAUUAUCACCUUCUUCUCCAUUAGCAGUACAGAUGGCUUGGAUCAUGGAAGUUUUGGAGAGUAAUCUAGAGGCUAAAUCCAAGAUUUACAGGGACCCUGCUUUAUCCUCUGUUUUCAUGAUGAACAAUGGAAGGUAUAUUGUUAAAAAGGUUAAAGAUGAUGAAUUGGGUUCACUUUUAGGAGAUGAUUGGGUCCGGAAGCACACAGCAAAAGUCCGGCAAUAUCAUGUGAAUUACCAAAGAAGUUCGUGGAAUAAGAUACUGAAUGCCUUAAAAUUGGACAACAAUAGCUUAUCUCCUAAUGUUGCUUCCAAGGCCUUCAAAGAGAAGCUUAAGCUAUUUAAUUCUCAAUUUGAGGAGAUUUGUAGAACUCAAUCGACAUGGGCUAUAUUUGAUGAGCAGUUAAAAGAGGAAUUGAAGCUUUCUGUGGGUGCAAAUUUGCUCCCUGCUUAUAGAAAUUUUCUUGGCAGGUUUCAUAAUAUUCAAGAUAUUGGGAAAUAUGCAGAGAAACAUGUUAAGUUCAAUGUUGAAGAUGUUGAGGCUCGAAUCGAUGGCUUGUUUCAAGGAACUGCUGUAUCAGGAAGUGGUCGGAAAUGAAAAGCCAGCAAGUCACUGAUCAUCUGAAGCAAGUUGCGAUGGGGACUAAUAUUAAAGUUGUUCCAAUUCAACAGAAAAGCCUUCUAAGGGCAAAGCGUGAGAUUGUUGUUGGAACUCCAGGGAACUAAAAGAUUUAUGCUUUUCAAGUAUUCUUGGAUUGUUUUAAGCAAGUGCGAUUAUGAUUAUGAUUAUGAUGGUGGUGUUGCUCAAAUAUUCUGUUUGAGGAGUCUGGUCUUGCCGACUUAAACGUUAACUGCAGUUUUAAUAUUCUGUUUUCCUGCUUUAUGAUGCUUAAAUAGAAUAAUGUUAAACUUGAAACUAUAUUUAGGUUUGAAAUAUUCAAUUUGCUGAUCAAAUGUUUGAUGGAUUAUUGACUUGUUGUAUAUAAAGAGGGAAAUUGACAUC